AACUACAAAGUACUGAAACUAUGUUAAUGAGGUGGGAUUAAAAAAAACAUAUUUAUUAACUAGUUUGAGCAUUUAUGUGGAUAGUGAAAGGUGCAACAAAAACACAUGAAAACUAGUUUCAGUUAGUAUUCUCUGUUUAUGUGACAUGGAAUUGUUAACACACAUCAGGGACUGCACAGUUGCCUUGGCACACAGACAUCCAUGACGCACAUGACCACCUCCCCUGGGAAGAAAACUCGGCACAGCAUUAGCGAGGACUAGGCCAGACUGGUGUCCCUCAGCAGCCGAGGCCCGGGACGCCUCAGAUCCGUGUGCCUCGGGUGCGCACGGUCAGCUGCUGUGGAGAUGCUGGCCUCAGAUCCAUGGUCCUCUUCUCCUCUUCCUGACUCUGCCUAGCCCAUGUUGGCGGAUGGCGAUGUGUCCCUGACGCUUCACUCCCCAGUUUCCACAUUAUCUGAGACAAUAAAUGACACUACUUUAUGUAA